rnacentral:rRNA from 1 species
AGAGUUUGAUCCUGGCUCAGAUUGAACGCUGGCGGUAUGCUUAACACCAGGCUCGACACAUGCAAGUCGAGCGAGAAAGCACUUCGGUGUGAGUAGAGCGGCGGACGGGUGCGUAACACGUAGGAAUCUGCCUGGUAGUGGGGGACAACUCGAGGAAACUCGGGCUAAUACCGCAUACGCCCUAAGGGGGAAAGCGAGGGAUCUUCGGACCUCGUGCUAUCAGAUGAGCCUGCGUCGGAUUAGCUAGUUGGUGAGGUAAUGGCUCACCAAGGCGACGAUCCGUAGCUGGUCUGAGAGGAUGAUCAGCCACACUGGGACUGAGACACGGCCCAGACUCCUACGGGAGGCAGCAGUGGGGAAUAUUGGACAAUGGGCGCAAGCCUGAUCCAGCAAUACCGCGUGUGUGAAGAAGGCCUUAGGGUUGUAAAGCACUUUCAGUAGGGAGGAAAAGUUAGUCGUUAAUAUCGGCUAACCCUGACGUUACCUACAGAAGAAGCACCGGCAAACUCCGUGCCAGCAGCCGCGGUAAUACGGAGGGUGCGAGCGUUAAUCGGAAUUACUGGGCGUAAAGCGCACGUAGGUGGUUUAUUAAGUCAGAUGUGAAAGCCCCGGGCUCAACCUGGGAACUGCAUUUGAAACUGGUAAGCUAGAGUAUGGUAGAGGUAAGUGGAAUUCCAGGUGUAGCGGUGAAAUGCGUAGAUAUCUGGAGGAACAUCAGUGGCGAAGGCGACUUACUGGACUAAUACUGACACUGAGGUGCGAAAGCGUGGGGAGCAAACAGUAUUAGAUCCCCUGGUAGUCCACGCCGUAAACGAUGUCAACUAGCCGUUGGGAGCAAUUAAGCUUUUAGUGGCGCAGCUAACGCAUUAAGUUGACCGCCUGGGGAGUACGGCCGCAAGGCUAAAACUCAUAGGAAUUUGACGGGGGCCCGCACAAGCGGUGGAGCAUGUGGUUUAAUUCGAUGCAACGCGAAGAACCUUACCAGCCCUUGACAUCCUGUGAACUUUCUAGAAAUAGAUUGGUGCCUUCGGGAACACAGUGACAGGUGCUGCAUGGCUGUCGUCAGCUCGUGUCGUGAGAUGUUGGGUUAAGUCCCGCAACGAGCGCAACCCUUGUCCUUAGAGUGCAAUCAUUUAGUUGGGCACUCUAGGGAGACUGCCGGUGACAAACCGGAGGAAGGCGGGGAUGACGUCAAGUCAUCAUGGCCCUUAUGGGCUGGGCUACACACGUGCUACAAUGGCCGGUACAGAGGGUUGCAAUGUCGCGAGGCGGAGCCAAUCCCAGAAAGCCGGUCCUAGUCCGGAUUGCAGUCUGCAACUCGACUGCAUGAAGUCGGAAUCGCUAGUAAUCGCGGAUCAGAAUGCCGCGGUGAAUACGUUCCCGGGCCUUGUACACACCGCCCGUCACACCAUGGGAGUGGGUUGCAAAAGAAGUGGGUAGCUUAACAUUGGGGAGGACG